rnacentral:rRNA from 1 species
UGACGCAGCCACGCCGCGUGCCGGAAGACGGUCCUAUGGAUUGUAAACGGCUUUUACCAGGGAAGAACCAUCUCGAUUUGUCGGGAUCUGACGGUACCUGGUGAAUAAGCACCGGCUAACUCCGUGCCAGCAGCCGCGGUAAUACGGAGGGUGCAAGCGUUGUCCGGAAUCAUUGGGUGUAAAGGGUGCGUAGGCGGGUCUUUAAGUCUGGGGUGAAAUCUUGCGGCUCAACCGUAAAAUGGCCUCGGAUACUGGAGACCUUGAGUAUGACAGAGGGUGGCGGAAUUCGUAGUGUAGCGGUGAAAUGCAUAGAUAUUACGAAGAACACCAGUGGCGUAGGCGGCCACCUGGGUCAUAACUGACGCUGAGGCACGAGAGCGUGGGGAGCGAACAGGAUUAGAUACCCUGGUAGUCCACGCUGUAAACGAUGUAUACUAGGUGUCGGGUCCUUCGGGAUUCGGUGCUGCAGCUAACGCAUUAAGUAUACCACCUGGGGAGUACGUCGGCAACGAUGAAACUCAA